rnacentral:lncRNA from 1 species
CUUUUACUCUUGGUGGAAGAUGAAGCAGGAACAGGUGCGACACAUGAUAAGAAAACUGAGACACAGAAAAGUCACACAAGAUUAUCGAGGUCAACACAGAGAACAGUGGAACCUGCACCUGACCCCAGGCAGGCGGAACCUUCAUGACCACACCACACCACCACAGGGAACAGGCAGGGAAAACAAUGGGUCUAGCAGGACAAAAGUGACAUUUCCCAGAGUUUCUUGCUGUUUGGAUCUGGCUGCAGUUUCAGUUUUGCCAAGAAGAGGCAUUUCCAUGAGCUCUGGACAGUGGCAGAGAGGCAGAGGUGCUCCACUGCAGUGUGCUGGAUGGUCCACGGGCUCCUGCCAAUGUGAGGAUUUGCAGCAACUGGUAUAUCCAUGGUCUUGUCACCAGCUUCCUGAAUUCGGGGCAGCUGGAGCCACACUAGUGGUCCUUCCUUGCAGGGGCAGCAGCUGUCUCCUGGUCUCAGAAUCACAGCUGUGGGGAUGCAACCUUAAGCCAAAAGCCUAGCGGUGGGUGGUCCUAAACUUCUUUUGUCUAGGCCCUCUGAUCCCUCUGUAAGUCGCU